CAGUAGCCACGGUAAUACGAGGGGGGCAAGCGUUGUUCGGAUUUAUUGGGCGUAAAGGGUGCGUAGGCGGUUUGGCAAGUUUGGUGUGAAAUCUUCGGGCUCAACUCGAAGUCUGCAUCAAAAACUGCCGGGCUUGAGUAUGGGAGAGGUGAGUGGAAUUUCCGGUGUAGCGGUGAAAUGCGUAGAUAUCAGAAGGAACACCUGUGGCGAAAGCGGCUCACUGGACCAUAACUGACGCUGAGGCACGAAAGCUAGGGGAGCAAACAGGAUUAGAUACCCCGGUAGUCCCUGUCUCUUAUAC
rnacentral:rRNA from 1 species